rnacentral:rRNA from 1 species
UACGUAGGGGGCAAGCGUUAUCCGGAUUUACUGGGUGUAAAGGGAGUGUAGACGGCGAUGCAAGCCAGAUGUGAAAGCCCGGGGCUCAACCCCGGGACUGCAUUUGGAACUGUAUAGCUAGAGUGUCGGAGAGGCAGGCGGAAUUCCUAGUGUAGCGGUGAAAUGCGUAGAUAUUAGGAGGAACACCAGUGGCGAAGGCGGCCUGCUGGACGAUGACUGACGUUGAGGCUCGAAAGCGUGGGGAGCAAACAGG